GUUUUCCCUAGAGUUCCCCUGAACGCUUCAUUAAAGGGCUUUAUUAUCAUAUAGUCCCAAGUUAGUCCAUACUGAAGUGUUUGGGGGAACUCCCGGUGAUAC
rfam:Glycine soja cultivar W05 scaffold198_40, whole genome shotgun sequence.